rnacentral:lncRNA from 1 species
UCAAACUUUUGAUUUAGCACUAGGAAAAUGGAAAAUUUAUCCACAAAAAACUAUGAAACUCCCAAAACAUUCUAUGUGAUGUCUAAACGCCGAGUGUUUUGGAAACUUUCCACAAUAAAACAUAAUACACAACUAGCACAAUGCACAUCAUGAAUGCAUUCAAUAUUAAUGUUUAUUACAUCUGGUUGCAUCUCAUAUGUUUGUAUUCAAAAAAAAAAAAGUUGGACAC